rnacentral:rRNA from 1 species
AGAUUGAACGCUGGCGGCAUGCCUUACACAUGCAAGUCGAACGGCAGCACGGGAGCAAUCCUGGUGGCGAGUGGCGAACGGGUGAGUAAUAUAUCGGAACGUGCCCAGUCGUGGGGGAUAACGCAGUGAAAGCUGUGCUAAUACCGCAUACGAUCUAUGGAUGAAAGCGGGGGACUCGCAAGAGCCUCGCGCGAUUGGAGCGGCCGAUAUCAGAUAGCUAGUGGUAGGGUAAAGCCCACCAAGGCGACGAUCUGUAGCUGGUCUGAGAGGACGACCAGCCACACUGGAACUGAGACGACGGUCCAAGACUCCGUACGGGAGCGAGCGAGGUGGGUAAUUUUGGACUAAGUGGCGAC